GGCCCUCCCUCCUCCCCUUCUGGAAUGCAAUGUGUAUUUACUGCCCCGUGGAUCCCAGUUUCUCUCAGGAAGUCAUUUUUUCCAGGGCUAGAGGAGAGUAGCAGGCUAUCUCUCUGGAGAACUCCGCCACUCCUGGAGUCAGAACUCUUGGGGAUCAAGGGGUGGUAACUACAGGGGAGCUGAGUCAGAAGAUGAUAUUGAGGAUAUAUAAAUGACCCCCACCCUCUUGACCCCACUCCUGCUGCGAGACUGGGAAGGAAGUGAAGAUAGAAAACUAAAAACAGCGUAGUAACUCCAACCUUCUCUCUUUCCAGCCCCAGACAGUCCCAAAAGACUAUGGCCAGCACAAGUGUAGCCCCUCUCUUAGGCGGGCAGGUGGGGCAUCAUCUUUUUGCUGAGGGUUCCCACUUGAGAGACAGGGAUUUUCCCCUUCCUUCACAGGUUUUUGCUGGAGCUUUCUCUACUGUGACAUCCAAGUCUCAGCUCUCCCCCAAACAGGAUGCUCUCUAACUGGUCCCUAAGUCAUGUUCAUCUAUCCUAUAACCCAUACCCAAGCCCAGGACUGCUUGGCUUGGAUGGGUCUUUGUUCUGGAGUUGUCCUAGGCCUCGGCUGUGAGCUGGUGUUUAGGAGCGGUGCCCUAGCCUCUUCACUUUCCCCCAGAAACUCCAGAUUGUGUCUAGCCCCCUGGAAGUGUGAAAACGUCCCACUAAGACCCCGGGUCCAAAUUACUCCCCUUUCUGUCUUCCCAUCCCUCUCCACUCUCUGUAAUGGUCCUUAUUUUUCCCUUGGCCCAAUAGUUCUCUACCUGGCAGCACACUGCACUCACCUAAGAAGUUUCUAGAAACCCCUUUCAUACCUGACCAUACCUUAAUCAUUAAACCUGACUCUCUUGGGUGUGGAAACUCUUCGAAAAGUGUCCCAAAUCAGUCUGGAGGCCUUCCUGUAGGCUCUCUGAUCCCCCCUGGAUAGUAAGCCACCCCAGAGAAGGACGCGUAGUGGGCUUUGGUUGCCACUGCAUUGUCAGCAAUUAGAACAAUGCUUGCAUCCCUGUAGGGACUCGAGACUAAGACUGAGCAGUGAAGGAAUGUUCCAGAAACUCCAUCAUCACUCAUGGGUGGGUUCUCUGGAGGGAGUCUUUCAUUUUUGUUACUCAUCCAACAAACAUCAAGUCUUUGCUGCUGUGCCAGGAGCAGGAGCAAAGCCUAGAGUGGGAAGACAUGGAGAGUGUGACCCUAGGAGCCUCCCGUGUCUAGGUGCCAGGUGCAGAUGGCAGUUAGAAUGCAAAGCAAGCUGGUUGCCCCCAACAGGCACCAGACACCCUGCACCCCUGUGGAAGGUGUUCCGCUCAUAUUUUCACACUUGCUAAUCCACACAGUUCUUCACAGUAGGUGCUGCUGCCAUUUCCCAGGGGAGAAAACUAGGCUCCAGGGAGUUACCUAAUGCCCCCCAGAGUCACCUGAUGCAAAGCCAGGUCUGCCUCUUGAAAAUCAUUCACUCUUUGCAUCACUUCGUGCCAUGUGCAGAGGUGAGACUGGAUGGGAGGCUUGUGGGUCCCCAUGAGCAAGGCAGAUGCUACAAAGAGAAACCCUACCCCAACCAAGAAAGUUACCCCAAGCUCUUCUGUGCUCUGAUACCAUGAUUGUCUGGAUUCAGGCUUCUUAGGAGCAGACCCCAAGGCAAAGACUGUCCUAAAACAGUUCUUUGAUAAGGGGAGGACCACUGGUGGCCAGCACGGAGAAAGUCCAAUAAGAGAAGGUAGUCCAGACAAGCAAGUCACUGUGCCGGACAGCUAGAACUAAAUCCUGUUGUAAAACUGGGCACCACAGAAGACCACACUUCUCAGGGUUGUCUCACAAAAUAUUAUGAUCCUUCCUUAAUUAUAGUGUUCCAUUGGCCUUUAUACCUCUGUUUUCCCAUCUGUGGAAAUGGACACAAACAGGCUUUAUUACAAGCACACAUUAGAAAAAACUCAUAAACACUGCCUACACCAUGGAGUACUGUAGGUCAGGUAUCCAAGAAAGAAGUGCCAUACACAAUGCCAAGAGAGUUUAUGAACUGCUUUAUAGACAGGCAGGAUUAAACAGGAUCUGCAAGAGC
rnacentral:lncRNA from 1 species